UACGUAGGUGGCAAGCGUUGUCCGGAUUUAUUGGGCGUGAAGCGAGCGCAGGCGGUUCCUUAAGUCUGAUGUGAAAGCCAACGGCUCAACCGUGGAAGGUCAUUGGAAACUGGGGAACUUGAGUGCAGAAGAGGAGAGUGGAAUUCCAUGUGUAGCGGUGAAAUGCGUAGAUAUAUGGAGGAACACCAGUGGCGAAGGCGACUCUCUGGUCUGUAACUGACGCUGAGGCUCGAAAGCGUGGGGAGCAAACAGGAUUA
rnacentral:rRNA from 1 species